rnacentral:rRNA from 1 species
UACGUAGGUGGCAAGCGUUGUCCGGAUUUAUUGGGUUUAAAGGGUGCGUAGGCGGCUUUGUAAGUCAGUGGUGAAAUAUGGCAGCUUAACUGUCAAGGUGCCAUUGAUACUGCGGAGCUUGAGUACAGAUGAGGUAGGCGGAAUUGACGGUGUAGCGGUGAAAAUGCUUAGAUAUCGUCAAGAACACCUAUAGCGAAGGCAGCUUACUAGGCUGUAACUGACGCUGAGGCACGAAAAGUGUGGGGAUCAAACAGG